CUCGGCCUCAGAUCAGACAAGGCUACCCGCUGAAUUUAAGCAUAUUAAUAAGCGGAGGAAAAGAAACUAACAAGGAUUCCCCUAGUAACGGCGAGUGAAGCGGGAUCAGCUCAAAUUUAAAAUCUCCGUUGCUUGCAACGGCGAAUUGUAGUUUCGAGAAGCGCUUUCUAGGCGGACCGCCUGCGCCUAAGUUGCUUGGAACAGCACGUCAUAGAGGGUGACAACCCCGUCUGUGGCGUAGGCGGCCGCUCACGAUGUGCUUUCGAAGAGUCGGGUUGUUUGGGAAUGCAGCCCAAAAUGGGUGGUAAACUCCAUCUAAAGCUAAAUAUUGGCACGAGACCGAUAGCGAACAAGUACCGUGAGGGAAAGAUGAAAAGGACUUUGGAAAGAGAGUUAAAAAGUACGUGAAACCGUUAAAAGGGAAACGAAUGGAGCUAGCAAUGCACCCAGUGAGAUUCAGCCUGUAGGUGGCUAGGGCGCGCUGUUUGCAGAUCUGAAUUGACUGCUGCAGUGCGGUUCGAGCUCCCUGCCGUCGCACUUCUCGCGGGCGCGCGUCAACAUGGGUUGGGACCGGGUCUUAAAGGCACCGGCAAGGUAGGUCCGUACCUCCGGGUACGUACUGUUCUAGGCCGACGUUCUCGCGGCCCGGGCCCGACCGAGGCGAUGCAGCACAUGCCUCUUGUGGCUGGGGUCCCGUUCUUCCGGUUGGUUGUCGACUGUGGUGGACUGCGUGCAGUGCACCGCGACCGCUGCCGGUCGCUUGGGCGGUGACUUCGCAUGAUGUGCUUAGGAUGUUGGCGGUCAUAUGGCUUCAUCCGACCCGUCUUGAAACACGGACCAAGGAGUCUACCAUAUGCGCGAGUCUUUGGGUGAUUGAAACCCGCGGGCACAAUGAAAGUGAAGGCGGCUCCGGCCUGCCGAGGUGAGAACCUCCCCUCUCGGGGUGGCGCAUCAUCGACCGACCUAUUCUACUCUUAGGAAGGUUUGAGUAAGAGCGCAUUUGUUGGGACCCGAAAGAUGGUGAACUAUGCCUGAAUAGGGUGAAGCCAGAGGAAACUCUGGUGGAGGCUCGUAGCGAUUCUGACGUGCAAAUCGAUCGUCAAAUUUGGGUAUAGGGGCGAAAGACUAAUCGAACUGUCUAGUAGCUGGUUCCCUCCGAAGUUUCCCUCAGGAUAGCAGGAGCUCUUUGCAGUUUUAUCAGGUAAAGCGAAUGAUUAGAGGUCUUAGGGUUAAAACAACCUUAACCUAUUCUCAAACUUUAAAUUGGUAAGAAGUCCGACUUGCUCAAUUGAAGCCGGACGUGGAAUGCGAGUUCCUAG
rnacentral:rRNA from 1 species